CUUUUGCAUAGUGUAAAUAACUAUGCGAAUAAGGGGUGGGAAAGACCGGUGCCAGCAGCCGCGGUAACACCGGCGCCCCAAGUGGCAAUCAUAAUUAUUGGGCCUAAAGCGUCCGUAGCCGGAUUAGUAAAUUCUCUGUGAAAUCAGUUGGCUCAACCAAUUGGCGUGCAGGGAACACUGCUAGUCUAGAGACCGGGAGAAGUGAGAGGUAUUCUGAGGGGAGCGGUGAAAUGUGAUAAUCCUUGGAAGACCACCGAUGGCGAAGGCAUUUCACUAGAACGGAUCUGACGGUCAGGGACGAAGGCUAGGGGAGCAAAACGGAUUAGAUACCCGAGUAGUCCUAGCUGUAAACGCUGUAUGCAAGGUGUUGCGUAUUCUUGAGAAUUCGCAGUAUCGAAGAGAAGUCGUUAAGCAUACCGCCUGGGAAGUACGGUCGCAAGACUGAAACUUAAAGGAAUUGGCGGGGGAGC
rnacentral:rRNA from 1 species